UUUCUUUUUCUUCUUCUUUAUUUUCUUUUUACCUUACAAUGGGUUUUCAUACAAAAGUUUACCAAAAACAGUGGAAAAAAUAUUUUUUGUACCGAAAUUGUUUCCAUGCUCCUUUAAAACACGGCGUGUUCUUUGAAGUAAUGUAAAAAUUAAAGAAAUGAAAUCAAUUAAUUACAAAGUUUUGCCACCAAUUUUCGUAUUGCGAGAUAUUGCUAUUGUUCAUACUGUUUUGAACUAUAAUAUUGCAAUAUUUAGUAUGACAAAAUAGGCUUUGAAAAAAAAAGUCUACUUUUUGAACACUAAAGAACCACGCACGCACACAAAGAAAAUGGGGAAGGAAAUAAACUAUCUUAUGUUUAGAGAUAUUUAAUUGAAAAUGUUAAAAAAAAAGACGAAACAUGUGUAAAAUAAAGGUAAUUUAGAGCGUAAAGUUAACUGAAAUGACGACAAGAAGAGCGGAGCAAACUACAUCCGUGAUGUGAUUUGGUCGCGAUCGGCGAUGGAGAAACUGGUGUCGGUCUAGCUUACUAAGUUGAAAACACUUGAUGAUCACAGAUUUCGACAGAAAUUCAAAGGAUCUGAGAGAAUUGAUGGUGGAUAUGAUGGAUCUAGUUAACGUUAAGAUCUUAGUAGGAUUUUUGGAAAGAAACAACAGUAUGUUCAUCGUUAGGACUCGCGGUAAACGUAGCCAUGCAGGAGACGAUUCAAGACAGUAGGACAGAUUUAGACAAAGUGCAGGAUUUUAAUGAAGACUCGCACCGGUACCCUGACAUGAACAUGUAAAUUUUUCUAGCCUCGAAACCAGCCUUGCUUAUGAUCAUGCCGAGUCAUAGCCGUGAUGGAAGUUGCUAGGAAACAACAGGUUAACUUAUCAUCAUAAAGUAAAUAGGCUUAUAACUCUGUCUACAUGUCUUCGCUUCCAAUAUCACAGAACUUUAUAAAAUCGCCAUGCAGAAGUUGAAGACGGUAUUUAAAACUGUAUAAAAUGAAACAGAAUGAUAUGUUUAAUGUUUCUCUUUUAUAAAUUGAUGAAAUUCUUGUUUGUUUACAAUAUAAAAUCUGUAUAAA